rnacentral:rRNA from 1 species
AGUGAACGCUGGCGGUAGGCCUAACACAUGCAAGUCGAACGGCAGCACAGUAAGAGCUUGCUCUUACGGGUGGCGAGUGGCGGACGGGUGAGGAAUACAUCGGAAUCUACUUUUUCGUGGGGGAUAACGUAGGGAAACUUACGCUAAUACCGCAUACGACCUACGGGUGAAAGCAGGGGAUCUUCGGACCUUGCGCGAUUGAAUGAGCCGAUGUCGGAUUAGCUAGUUGGCGGGGUAAAGGCCCACCAAGGCGACGAUCCGUAGCUGGUCUGAGAGGAUGAUCAGCCACACUGGAACUGAGACACGGUCCAGACUCCUACGGGAGGCAGCAGUGGGGAAUAUUGGACAAUGGGCGAAAGCCUGAUCCAGCCAUGCCGCGUGUGUGAAGAAGGUCUUCGGGUUGUAAAGCCCUUUAAGUUGGGAAGAAGAGCAGCAAGUUAAUACCUCGCUGUUUUGACGUUACCCAAAGAAUAAGCACCGGCUAACUUCGUG